GGCUUUUAAAACCCUGAAACUGGGGAAGAUAACCUAGGGAGUAAGAGUCGAACCAAAGAAGAGAUCUAAAGUCUGGGUUUUGAGAGAUGAGAAAGAAUGAGCAGAAAAAAAUUAGACUGAUAAUUGAAAUGAAAGAAAAACUAAGAGAGGUAGCAAAGAGAAGAAAGAGCUUCAAGAAGAGAUGGAUCAGCUCUUUUAAUAUUGAUAGACCUAAUGUGAUGAGGAAUCAUCAUGAACUUCUGGAUUUGGUAUGAUGGAGAUAGGCAAGGACUGUGGCAAGACCCUUUCAAUGCAGGAGAAACCAAACUACUGAUUAGUGACCCUCCUUUUGUCUCAGCCUCAGAAGAACAAGAAGGAGGAGAUAUGAAGGCUCCAGAGGAAGAAUGACAAAACAGUCCUUGCUACUUUUCCAUCUGCAGCCUUGACCUCCUUACAAAAGAGAAGGCAUUCCAUGUCACGAGAAAUGCAGCUGCAAGACUCAGGGAAUGCAGAGAAUAGAUCACAAAUUCUGUUGCCUUUUACUGGAGUCCUGUUCUCUUCUAUGAUUUUAAUAAAAGUACCAAGGAACAAAUGGUGAAGAAAUAUG